UCCCUGGUGGCCAAGUGGUUAAGACUCUGUAUUUCCAAUGUAGGGCACCAAGGUUUGAUCCUUGGUCAGGGAA
rnacentral:tRNA from 1 species